rnacentral:rRNA from 1 species
UACAGAGGUGGCGAGCGUUAUUCGGAAUUAUUGGGCGUAAAGGGCGCGUAGGCGGCCAAGCAAGUCCUGGGUGAAAUCCCUCGGCUCAACCGAGGAACUGCCUCGGAAACUGCAUGGCUUGAGGCCGGGAGAGGGUAGCGGAAUUCCCAGUGUAGCGGUGAAAUGCGUAGAUAUCUCCAAGAACACCUAUUGCGAAGGCAGCCAGCUGGGACCAUAUUGACGCUGAGGCUCGAAAGCAUGGGGAGCAAACAGG